rnacentral:rRNA from 1 species
UGGGUAGUCCGCACGAGCGCACCUUGCCCUUAGUUGCUAACGAGUCAAGUCGAGAACCCUAGGGGAACUGUCGGCGAUAAGCCGGAGGAAGGUGGGGAUGACGUCAAGUCCUCAUGGCCUUUAUGUCCAGGGCUACACACGUGCUACAAUGGGCGGUACAAAGGGUCGCGAACCCGCGAGGGGGAGCCAAUCCCACAAAACCGUUCUCAGUUCGGAUUGCAGUCUGCAACUCGACUGCAUGAAGCUGGAAUCGCUAGUAAUCGUGGAUCAGCAUGCCACGGUGAAUACGUUCCCGGGCCUUGUACACACCGCCCGUCACAUCAUGAAAGCUGGUUGUACUAGAAGUCGCCGGGCUAACCGCAAGGAGGCAGGCGCCCAAGGUAUGACUGGUGAUUGGGGUGAAGUCGUAACAAGGUAGCUGUAGGAGAACCUGUGGCUGGAUCACCUCCUUUCU